UAGCUGCGGUUUGGUGUAUUGGGAAUGACCACCACUCUGCGUCGGGUGCCGAAGGGAAACCCGUGUAACCCCGCCGCCUGGGGAAGUACGGUCGCAAGGCUGAAACUUAAAGGAAUUGGCGGGGGAGCACCACAACGGCGUGGAGCCUGCGGUUUAAUUGGAUUCAACGCCGGAAAUCUCACCGGGGACGACAGCUGAAUGAUGGCCAGGUUGAAGACUUUGCUUGACUAGCUGAG
rnacentral:rRNA from 1 species